UGGGGAAUAUUGCACAAUGGGCGCAAGCCUGAUGCAGCCAUGCCGCGUGUGUGAAGAAGGCCUUCGGGUUGUAAAGCACUUUCAGCGAGGAGGAAGGGUAGUGUGUUAAUAGCACAUUGCAUUGACGUUACUCGCAGAAGAAGCACCGGCUAACUCCGUGCCAGCAGCCGCGGUAAUACGGAGGGUGCAAGCGUUAAUCGGAAUUACUGGGCGUAAAGCGCACGCAGGCGGUUUGUUAAGUCAGAUGUGAAAUCCCCGCGCUUAACGUGGGAACUGCAUUUGAAACUGGCAAGCUAGAGUCUUGUAGAGGGGGGUAGAAUUCCAGGUGUAGCG
rnacentral:rRNA from 1 species